CCUUUUCACACACACGUGUGUCCUCUCUCAUCAUCAACAACAACAACAACAACAACAACAAAAUGGCUGGAAUUCAAGAGUGGUACUACAGCGUACCGCCCGUC
rnacentral:ribozyme from 1 species